AGUGAACGCUGGCGGUAGGCCUAACACAUGCAAGUCGAACGGCAGCACAGUAAGAGCUUGCUCUUACGGGUGGCGAGUGGCGGACGGGUGAGGAAUACAUCGGAAUCUACUUUUUCGUGGGGGAUAACGUAGGGAAACUUACGCUAAUACCGCAUACGACCUACGGGUGAAAGCAGGGGAUCUUCGGACCUUGCGCGAUUGAAUGAGCCGAUGUCGGAUUAGCUAGUUGGCGGGGUAAAGGCCCACCAAGGCGACGAUCCGUAGCUGGUCUGAGAGGAUGAUCGGCCACACUGGAACUGAGACACGGUCCAGACUCCUACGGGAGGCAGCAGUGGGGAAUAUUGGACAAUGGGCGCAAGCCUGAUCCAGCCAUACCGCGGGGGUGAAGAAGGCCUUCGGGUUGUAAAGCCCUUUUGUUGGGAAAGAAAAGCAGCAGGUUAAUACCCCGCUGUUCUGACGGUACCCAAAGAAUAAGCACCGGCUAACUUCGU
rnacentral:rRNA from 1 species